AGUGAACGCUGGCGGCGUGCUUAACACAUGCAAGUCGAACGAGAACGGGUUAUAGCUUGCUGUAAUUGUCAGCUAAGUGGCGCACGGGUGAGUAAUGUAUAGGUAAUAUGCCUCUUACUACGGGAUAACAAAUGGAAACGUUUGCUAAUACCUUAUACUCCUUAUUAACAGAAGUUAAUAAGGGAAAGAUUUAUUGGUAAGAGAUUAGCCUGUAUUGUAUCAGUUAGUUGGUGGGGUAAUGGCUUAGCAAGACUAUGGCACAUAACUGGUUUGAGAGGAUGAUCAGUCACACUGGAACUGAGACACGGUCCAGACUCCUACGGGAGGCAGCAGUGGGGAAUAUUGCACAAUGGACGAAAGUCUGAUGCAGCAACGCCGCGUGGAGGAUGACACAUUUCGGUGCGUAAACUCCUUUUAUAUAAGAAGAUAAUGACGGUAUUAUAUGAAUAAGCACCGGCUAACUCCGUGCCAGCCGCCGCGGUAA
rnacentral:rRNA from 1 species